AGUCUGGUGCCAGCAGCCGCGGUAAUUCCAGCUCCAAUAGCGUAUAUAAAAGUUGCUGCAGUUAAAAAGCUCGUAGUUGGAUCUGGGGCUUGAGGUCGCUGUCUAUCGUUUCGGCGAUGACGGUGAUGCUCAGCUCUGCUUGCCGGUGACUGUUGCGGUGUUCUUCACUGAGCGCUGUAGCAGCACGGCACGUUUACUUUGAAAAAAUUAGAGUGCUCAAAGCGUGCCUGUCGCUUGAAUAAUGUUGCAUGGGAUAAUGGAAUAGGACCUCGGUUCUAUUUUGUUGGUUUUCGGAGCUUGAGGUAAUGAUUAAGAGGGACGAACGGGGGCAUUCGAAUUGCGGUGUUAGAGGUGAAAUUCUUGGAUCGCCGCAAGACGGACUACUGCGAAAGCAUUUGCCAAGAACGUUUUCAUUAAUUAAGAACGAAAGUCAGAGGUUCGAAGACGAUCAGACACCGUCCUAGUUCUGACCAUAAACGAUGCCGACCAGCGAUCCGUAGUGGUUGCUUUAUGGACCCUACGGGCAGCCUCCGGGAAACCAAAGUAUUUGGGUUCCGGGGGAAGUAUGGUUGCAAAGCUGAAACUUAAAGGAAUUGACGGAAGGGCACACCAGGAGUGGAGCCUGCGGCUUAAUUUGACCCAACACGGGAAAACUCACCCGGUCCGGACACCGUAAGGAUUGACAGACUGAUAGCUCUUUCUUGAUUCGGUGGAUGGUGGUGCAUGGCCGUUCUUAGUUGGUGGAGUGGUUUGUCUGGUUAAUUCCGAUAACGAACGAGACUCUAGCCUGCUAAGUAGUAUUGCUAUUGUUAUAUGGUUGACACUUCUUAGAGGGACAAGUGGCAUUUAGCCACGCGAAAUUGAGCAAUAACAGGUCUGUGAUGCCCUUAGAUGUCCGGGGCCGCACGCGCGCUACACUGGAGAAGUCAGCGUGUGUUAUCCAAGUCCGAAAGGACUGGGUAAUCCGUUGAACCUUCUUCGUGCUUGGGACUGUGGCUUGGAACUAUUCCACAUGAACGAGGAAUUCCUAGUAAUUGCAAGUCAUAAGCUUGCGUUGAUUACGUCCCUGCCCUUUGUACACACCGCCCGUCGCUACUACCGAUUGAAUGGUUUAGCAAGGUCCUCGGAUCGUGGCCGUAGGGGCACGCAAGUGUUUCUGCGGUUUGCGAGAAGACGACCAAACUUGAUCAUUUAGA
rnacentral:rRNA from 1 species